rnacentral:rRNA from 1 species
GACAGAGGGGGCAAGCGUUGCUCGGAAUUACUGGGCGUAAAGGGCGCGUAGGCGGGAUGGCAAGUCGGUCGUGAAAUCCCUCGGCUCAACCGAGGAACGUCGAUCGAUACUGCUGUUCUUGAGGAUUGCAGAGGAGACUGGAAUUCCCGGUGUAGCGGUGAAAUGUGUAGAGAUCGGGAGGAACACCGGUGGCGAAGGCAGCCCCCUGGGUUAACACUGACGCUCAGGCACGAAAGCGUGGGGAGCAAACAGG